GAUGAAGAACGCAGCGAAAUGCGAUAAGUAGUGUGAAUUGCAGAAUUCCGUGAAUCAUCGAAUCUUUGAACGCACAUUGCGCCUUCUGGUAUUCCGGAAGGCAUGCCUGUUCGAGAGUCAUUAACAACCGUUUCGAUCCCUUUCUUUCAGAAAUUACAAAGAGGAAAAGGGUUUGGUUAUGGUGGAGGAGGGAAAGGGAGCGUUUAGCCUGUAAAAAAAGAGGCUGUGUUCCGCCUCCCCCCCAAAAUUGUACAGGCGGUCGUGUGCGCCCACGCAUCGAGGUGUUGUAAAAGCUGCCGCGGCACUUUUCACCUGUGCAGUGCGAGAUUGGCCAGCCGGUUUAAAAACCCCUCCAAACAAUCAAAGGUUGACCUCGGAUCAGGUAGGGAUACCCGCUGAACUUAAGCAUAUCAAUAAGCGGAGGA
rnacentral:misc_RNA from 1 species